GCGGGGCGCGCACCGGGGUCGGCGCCGAAGACCGGACCCUGCGCCGCGAGGGGCGAAAAGAGCAUUUUGGAUGAAACUUACUAGGUUAAUUACUAUGGUCUGAAUGUUGGUGACCUCCAGGAUUCCGUGUGAUAGUAUUAAGAAGUGGAGCCCUCAUGAGUGGGACAAAUGUCCUUAUAGAAGCACUACAGCUAGCUAUCUCAUCCUGUCCACUAUGUAAAGACACAGUAUGGUGCCAUCUGUGAAGCAGAGAGCAAGCCUUCACAAGGCACCAAGUCUACUGGCAUCUUGGACUUUCUAGCCCGUGGAAAUGUGACCAAUAAGUUUCUGAUCUUACAAAUUACCUAGUUAAGGUAUUUUGUGACAGCAGCCAGAAUGGACUAAGUAAUACAUUUGUGCUUCUAGAUUUUAAAUGUAAGUUAAAUGGCUAAACAACAACUAAAUCUGAAAUACAUCAAAUGCUCCACAGUAGCAGCUAGUAUCAAAAGCUACACUAAGAGAUAAAGUAUUGCCUACUAAAGAGUGUAAGAAAAGUGCAAGGGGUGGAAUAAAAGAGUGUUGGCCUUUGGGGGAGCUUAUUUGGUAGGAAAAUGACUCUGAAAUAUGAAAAAAAAAAUAGCUCGAUGUGUCAGUACAGGGUUUGAAAUGAGAAAACAGUUUUUGUUUUUUUUUCUUUUUAGAGCAGGAAGCUCUAGGUCCUGAAGCUCUAGGUUGGAAGGUGUGUUAGUGCUUACUAGAGAAACAGGUUUAAUGCAAGAUAUACAAAUAUAUAGGCAUUUACAAGAUUGGCCUACCAGGGCCUCCCAUAGAUUCAGUGUGGAAGAGUGCAAAAGGUCUGUCUAUGAACUGGAGAUCCGAAGGACCCAACUGAAGGCCUUGAGUUCACUGCAGUGUCCCACGUGAGUUCACAUCAGGAGGCUGAAGAGUCUGCACUGGAAGCCAGGAGAGGACAUCCAAGGUGAAGGUGAAGACUGGAGCUCCUCCAAAGAAACAGAAGCGAACCUUCCUUCUUCGUUUCCCUUUUAAUCCAUCCAGGCUACAAGCCAAUAUUGUUGGUUGGUGUCACUCACACCAGGGCGGGUCUUCUGUCUUCAGUAAAUCCCUUCAACCACUGAGAACGAUGCUGACCCAAUUUAGUUGGGUGUUUCUUCUUCAAGUUGACACAAUCAGAUGUUGCAGGUCUCUGCCCUGUUUAGUUGCAGAAGUCCCCUGUGAAUUCUCCUAGCCUUCCAGGACUCUGGAGAAGAUCAUAGGAGGCCUUGAAUGUGGAAGCGCUUCGGAAAUCAUGAAGCACUCUAGCUGAAAAAGUCUUGCUGUAACAGUCCUAAUCCCCUCUGUGACAGUGAAUGUCUCCAGAAAAUGCAGGCGGCCGUAUACCCGGAAAGUAGAACUAAAGUAAACUGAAAGCCUCACCUGUAUUUCAUGUUUCUGAAAAUGGGUCAGUGAUCACAUAGCUACAUGUCCUUCCACAGAGGAGGAUAGGCAGGAAGAAAAUACUUGAACCCGGAAGACUAAAGUUGCUGUGGGAUGAUGCUGCUUGAACUUUGAUUUGUGUUUGCAUCGGGAGGAUCGUGUUUCAGGAAAGAUACAGACUCCAAAGGUUUGCGAUGGAUCCCAAUGUUCUGAUUCUCUCACAAGGCGAUGUCAGGAUGCAGUUCUGUGAAUGGGAAGAAUUUAGGACUCUUUCUUAGACAUCCCCUCUCCUCUCUGUACAGUCAGCAAAAGAAAAGCACUUCCUGAUCAGAGGUUUAAAAAAACAGGAAAUAAACGGUAUGUACUUCUAUGAGACUAGAAACAAAAUGAACAAGUUGACAAAGAAGAAACCCAUUGAUCGAAGCCUGACGUUUUUACUCAUGUGGAGAUGGAAUGGAGUCGAAGACUGGCUACCCAGGUGCUCACUGUGUUUAAGUGCAGCUGCUUUUGAAGUCUAAGUUCCUAACAAGAAUCACUGUAUCUAGUCAUGUCCUUCCUUCCCCAGAGAGGAAAAUUCAACAGUUCCUAUGAAGAAGGAACUCGUGCUUUCAGCAUUACUGAGUUGCAGCGUGCUAAUUUAUAUGAAUCUGUCCCUUCCUCCAAAAUUUUCUGAUGAUUAUGGUCUCUGGAAAAUAACAUAUUAUUUUUUAAUUGCAGACUCUUAAUCUACAGAAGAACAAAAAAAGAACUUGCGAAGAUUGAAGCCAGAAAAACAUUUUAGAAUCUAGAAUAUAACAGGCAGAGAAUAAAGUGUCAUAGAGGGGUAUAGGUAUGUUUAGUCUAUAUUACUGGAAGCUUCCAAAGCACUGCAGGCCUUUUUAGGGACAUUGUCUAAGCACUUAAAGUGUGCGGUCUUUUUGUGGAAGCCCUAGUCUUGCUCACUGGCAAGCCCUAUAGAUAACUCUGAAAAUCUGAACUGUGAUUUAUUCAUACCGUGAUGGUCUUGCCAAAGUGGACCUAUGUUGAUAAUUGCUUAUCAGUGGUUGUACCGUGUAUUUCUGUGGUGAAGAAGCGACACUGCUGGUUUUACCAAAUAUAUAUUGUCCAACUUGCAGAAAAUAUUAAUAGUAUUGCAGAUAACAAAAUAAAAGUGUGUGUGCAGACCCCUGCAUCGUGAUGGGCACAGUUAUGUUUAGUAAUAGCUUUUCCUUGUGCCGUGGCCCCUGGCACACAGACUGCUUUGGAGAUCUUUGGCCUUCUCGGGGGGUCUCUGCAGGAAUCACUGAAAUGUUUCUUUUUUCUUAGAUGCCAUCUUCCUCUCCUUUUAAGAAUACAGUGUUACUUUAAAGCGAUGUUCACUUUAGAACAGACUUGUAGAUUCAGUCACCCAUGAGGGAUGUUAGGCAUGGAGAGAAAAACCAGGUUGCUUUUUAUCCUCUACCGUUUAUAUCUUUGAUGGUGAAGGGGGGCUACUUUUUUCAAACGGCAGCCUGAUACGUAUUGUUUGAAAACUUGUUUGAAAAUUAUCAGAACUUACAUCCUUCUUCAGAUUUGUUUCUUUUAAGUGCUCAAAUUCAUAUUUCUCUUGAAAUAAAUAAUUAAUAGUUACAAAGUUUUAAAUGAUCAUGUUAAUGUUCUACGUGAAGUAAGCCCAAUAUGUAUACCCAACAUAGCAGUAAGGAUUUAUGUCUCAAAUAGUAACAAGUCAUUCAUGAAACCAAGUUUGAAAUUGAAGCGCUGCGAAUAUGCCUACAUAUUUGUAUUUUUCUUUUUCUUGGACUUGGUCUGUUUAAAGUAAUAGGUCUGGCCUAUUUUGUUUGUUAUUCUGUCAUUUAGAAUGUAAAUUAUGCUCUUGAAUUCUUUGUGUUAAGCUGAGUUUGUUGAUAAAUACAAGCAUAAUAAAUAAUCAAUGAUCACAUUUUUACUAGGAAAAGUCAUUAUUAAUAUUUUAAAUGUACCAACAGUCUGUCAAUCAUAAGUUUAUGCAUGUGACAGUGUUGCCUAGUCUUGAUUCAUUUUUUUAAAGAAAAAUUGGCAAAUCUCAAAUAAAGUGUAAAAUACUAGGUUUGAAUCAGAUACACUAAUAAUACAAAGAAAACAGGAAAACUUACUUAAAAAUAACUGUUCUUAAGAAGAAAUUUAUAAAUAAAAAGGAAGAAGUUUAUAAAUAGGAACCUGAUUAAUAAAUCACAUUAUUGUUCAGAGCUUGAGCCCUAGUCCCUUAGACUACAUUACUUUUGAUGACCUUUUGCUUUCUUUGCAACCCACGCUAGAUAAUGUGUGUUGUUUUGCAUUUUUAUAUCACCAACCAAAUUACUUAAAAUUUAAUAAAAGUUCUAGGGGAAAAGGACAUUUCCAUAAUAGAAAAAAGUGAAUGUAACUUUAUUUUAUCAUAUUUUUAGAGACUUUACUGGGCUCUGUGAUUCCUUUAAAAAUAUAAAAUGAUAUAUUGUUUGAAAAUUGCUUUAAUGGCCAGUGCUUAGGGGAGUAGAUUAACACAACCUUUAUGGAAAGGUGGACAAUGGUCAUUAAAAAAUAUCUGCAUAAAACUUUUCAUACAUAGACACUCAGGUUUAAGAAUUUGUGCUAAGGAAACAAUUAUGAGUGUGUUCACAAUUAAGCAUAAGAAUAUUCAUCUUAGUACAACAUAUAUUGGAUGAAAUUUGGACACAGCCUAGUUAAUAUUCAAACAUAAAGACUAGUUUAAUAAGUUAUGAUACAUAUAAUCUGUAAUUCCUUUCACUACCACAAGCAAUAACAGACAGAUAUUUAAUAAUGCUAAUAAUGUAAGAAGAUACUAAACCACAGCCAAACAAUAAGUUACAAAAUAAUUUGUGUGUAUAAAAUCAUCUCAUACACACAUACACAUACACACACACACAUUUUAUAUAUGCAUAUAGCAUGUAAUAAAAUAAAUGUUAACAGUAUCUGGUUUUAAGUGUUGGAAUUAUUUUCUUUUUGCUUACCUGCAACUUCUUGACUUUUCAAUAAAUAAGUAUUAUGUUUUUAAUAAGGAAAA